UACGGAGGGUGCAAGCGUUGUCCGGAUUUAUUGGGUUUAAAGGGUGCGUAGGUGGCCCGUUAAGUCCGGGGUGAAAGCCCACUGCUCAACAGUGGAACUGCCCUGGAUACUGGCGAGCUUGAGUCCAGACGAGGUUGGCGGAAUGGAAGCUGUAGCGGUGAAAUGCAUAGAUAGCUUCCAGAACCCCGAUUGCGUAGGCAGCUGACUAGGCUGGUACUGACACUGAGGCACGAAAGCAUGGGGAGCGAACAGG
rnacentral:rRNA from 1 species